CCUCGGUGGCGUUCGCGGGGAGGAACGGGGCCUGCCGGAGGCCGCCCAACGGGGAGGGGCGGAAGGCGCCACCCCGCGGAGGAGGCCCCCGUGCCACAGCCCAGGGCCCCCGAGAGCUCUGGGAGCCCGGGUCAGAUGCUAGAAAUUUGCUUAGAACGUCCGGGUCCCACAGAAGGCGCCCUUGUCGCCCUCUCCCGGGUCGCAUCUCCCUGACGCUGGGGCGCAACCCCUUCGCUCCUCCUCCCCGCUGGCCGCGGCCGGGCUUCCCCAGCUCUUGCUGCUUCGGGCCUGUGACUUCUGCAACCCUGGGCUGGGGGCCGCGGGAGCCCAGGGCCGGUGACACCGCACUGGGAGCCGCCUCAAAGAGGUUACUCACCUCCCUCCUCCCGCAAAUUACUCUGACCCAAGAACCUCCAACCCACAUGGGAUUUUUGUGCGCCGUCCACGCCCGGCCGGCGGCCUCUGCCGCUCCCAGCCCUGCGCGGCUUUGGUCCCAGCCUCGGUGGCCCCUGUGCCAAACCGAGGACAGGCGGAAGGGAGUCUCCCAGGGACCCUAAGUAGCCUGGGGCCAACAACCCCUUUCCUCUCUACUCUCCCCUCAAAACAAGUUUGAGGAUCUCGCAGGCCUCGCGGCGUCGUUCUUCGUUGUGGCGGCCUGUGGCUCUUUGAAAAACACGACGAGGCCUGCAAAAUGCGUUUUCCCAAUUUUUUUCCUUUACGCGUGUAACUACGGUCCUGCAUCGUGAAACACUACGCGCGUCGGCGACAAAAGAAACACUGAGCAGUGGCUGCAAAGCUAAGGGCCCCGGCUUUCAGAGGAGAGAAUUUUCUUUCUCCAUGCGUGUGGAAAGUGGCCUCCGCGGAUCCAAUCCCACUUCUUGGGCUCGUGCGCUCUGGCUGCGCUGCAGGGACCGCUGACAGUUUCGCCAAGGCACUGCCUGCCCUCCUGGCUCCGCGUCCCCGCUCCCACUCCCAGCCGCGUGGCCCAACCUCUCCCGGGCUUCACUGUAAACAACCCCUUCCUCUCCCGCCUCUUAAGUCAGUCGAGCAAGCCUAGGGUACGGCUACAGCUGGGAGGGCAACGGGAAAGAUCAAGCCCCAAUCAUUCCGAAUUAUCGCCCCAGACCCCUCCCUAGACUCUGGGGAACGAACGCGUGCUGAGCCUUCCCGCCGCUUUGGAGACUGGGCUAUAUUUUCGUUGCCUCCGGCUCUCGACAGGUGCAAAACAGUCAAUUCCAAGCCUCGGAAGCAAAGAAGCUUAGGAUUCGACGGUGGCCGCAAGAUCUCAUCAAGGAUCUGACCCCUGCCCAGCGUGCGCCAUUUCGUCGUCGCCAAACGAAAUCAAGCCCCUCGUGCGCUCAAGGGGUGAAGGACUCUGGCCUCACCCCGACCGUCGAAAGAGCUGGCCCCUGCCCCGCUCGAGACCUCAUAUCACGCUCUCAGGCCAUUUCGAAAGCAAGAACGGCAAAGGUCCCUUACUGAACCUUGUAAGAGAGCCUGCGCCUGGCAGUUGUCGAUUGCGGACCCAGGCCCGCGCGCCCUCGGACGCGCUGGCACGAGCAGCAGAACUAGAGGAAAGCGAGCGAUCCAGCCUGGGCGCUCCCAUCUCCAGGAACGUCUCCGGGAAGGCCCAGCGCGUCGUGGCCAGGAUCCAGCAAAUUUUCCUUUGAAGUUUCGAUACAAUUUCCUAGGUCCUUGAAAAGUUGCAGCAAGUCCCACCAUCUGCCUGAGUCUGUUUUCAUUUCCACAAUGGAGGUGGUGACGCCCAGCACACGGCGCUGUGAUGAGGAUGUAAUGGGGAAUCCGGAGCAUUUAUAGAAGUCCCAGGAGGCCAAGAUUCUACACAGGUAGGAAGGACCUAAGCCAGAGGGGUGUGGGUGGCCAGAAGAGAGAGCCUACCUUAGUAGGGCUGGGUGGGCUAAGGUCUGGGCUCAGUCUCGAGGCCCUGGAGCUUAGAACUCCCUGGCUGUGGAAGUUCAGGCAAGGGCUGCUUCCUCUCUGAGUGUCAGUUUCCCCAUCUAUAAAUGGAAAGCUGCGACACUGAAAAACACUGUGGGGAGGAUGGUUCCUGAGGCAGUCUCUCUCCACACAUCACUGGAAUGUCGGCCCCCAGGGAGAAGGCGUCUUUGUCCCUGGUGUUCACUUCUGCAUCCCCAGCGCCCAGAACAGUGCCCGCAUGCAGCAGAUGCUCAAUAAAUGUUCAUUGAAUGAAUCAGCAACAACCAGUUCACCCACCUCACAUCCUAAGUCUGCUGGGGACCUAGGCCCACCUCUCCAGGGAAACUGUCUGCAGAUUGGGACCACACCUCAGGUCACAAGCAUUUCCUGAACACCUACUGUAUGCAUGGCUCUCUGCAGCCCAGGGUGGACCCUGCUCCACAGCCCGACAGGCAGAGCCAAGGAGGCAGGCGACAGACACAGUGAUUUGGGAAGAAGAACGGAGAGCAGGGCGGCCAGCAGGGCCUCGCCUGGGUGGGAGCAGGCCGUUCCCAGGCUGGAGCUCAGGCUGACGGGGGCCUCAGCUUGCCCGUUCCUGGGAGGGUGGGGCUGCCUGUUCCUCUUUCUUUCUUUGAAAACAAAAAUUGUUUUCUCUUAAAUUUAUAAGUAUUAAAAGUUUGGAAAAUACACAGUCAUCAAAAGAAUGUAAAAUAAAGGUUGCCUGCCAUAAUGGCACACCAUACAGCAUUAACUACUAUCGACAUGUCAGUGUUUCCCUCUAGUUUUUUUUUCUGAGGUGGCCUUGCUCUCAGAGGUGGCUUCCUCUCCCCCUGGGAAGGGAUAUAGCUGCUCUGUGGGAGAUGUGGGGGCACCAGGCUCUCUCCGUGGGCUGUUUAUCACUUCUGACUUUGAGGUCCUUUCUCCAUCCCUCCUGGAUCCAGCACCUCUUCCCGAGACACAGGGGUGCAAAGAGCUGGGGGAAGCGUGUCAGCAGGCCUCACCUCCUGCCCCUGCUUUCCCCACCGAGGUGGAGUGGGACAGAGCUCAGGCUUGAGGAGGGAGCACUGGAGGCCAAGCCACAGGUGCUGGUCCUCAGCCCUGGCACCCAGGCAAGUUGGGUUUGGGAACAGGGGCAUGACCAAAAUAGACCCCUCCUUUCCUCCCCACUCCUUUCCACUCCGUCUGCCUUUCCCUUUGCACUCUCCAAGUGUUCCAUCCCCCAGAUGCCCUCUGCUUUCUCUGCUCCAGCCGUUUAACUCCUCUCAACAAAGGCCAAGGAAUCAGGCAGACUGUGGACACUCAGGUGUGCGUGACAGGAAGGACCUACAUUUACAAGAGCUCCACCCCCACAGGGACUGCGUGUGCUGGUGGAAUCUCAGUCACCAUGUCCCACGUUGAAGGAUGUUUGGAGGGGGGCCGACUUUGGUCACCCUUCAAAUCAUAAGUUAUACGCGUCUGCCCUUUCCGCCCACACGUAAGUCUGAACCUUUUGCCAAACACAGUUUUCCCAGACUCGAAAGAAAACCCCAAAGAGGAACCUAAACCUUCACGCUGCCUGCACCAAUUGGACCGGAGUGCUCAGGCUCGCGCCAACACGUGUUUCAAAGAAGAAGCCAGACAGCGAAGGGGGAAGUGAGGGAGAAGCUGGAAACCUCUCAGGCUGACCAAUUGUUAGCCCAUUCAUUCGUCCAUCCAUCUAUCCGUCCGUCCAUCCAUCCAUCCAUUCAUUCUUUCUUUCCUCUAUCCAUUUAGUGAGAAGGGCUGAAUGUCACCUGUGAGCCUGCCCCUGCUCCCAAGAGCACCCUUUGGACCCCUGUGGGGUGAGGAGUGAGGGGCAGCGGUGGCAGAGCACCCCCAGCGCCUGGAGGGGAGAAAGGGAAGGGCUGGGAAGGCUCCCCAAAGGGGCGGCCAUGAAGCUGGGCCUUGAGAAGAUAGGCCAGGGUUUCUCACCUUCCACAUCCUGCUUAGAGUUAGACAGAAGGUUUUCUGCAGAGGAGGAGGAACAUUAAAUAUUAGUAAUUUCUGGCAUGCUGUGAGGGCUUGUCUGUGCCAGGCCCUGUGCUGUGCACAUGAUAUAUGCUAUCUCAUUAAACCUACCCAACAAGCCUUGAGGUGGGUGCUAUUCGUUUUCUCCAUUUUACAGGUGAGAAAACGAAACACAGAGAGGUGAGGCACCUCUCCCAAGGCCACACAGCAAGGAAGUGGCAGAGCCUGGCUGCAGCUGAGGCUUAUAGCUGCAUUUGACAUUGCUUCCUCUCCAAAGAGUGCCUUCCUUUAUCCCGGGAGCCAUUGACAAGGGGUCUGACAGUCCCUCUAGUCUUGUGCCUGCUCAGACCUCUCUAGCCCUGAAAAAACCAGGGCUUGGUGCUGGAGAGAGAGCAGGAGGGUGAGAUGUGGAAACAUCUGUUGAGUGGCAGGGGAUCACGCUGGUGUGGAGAGGCCUGAGCCGAUCAGGAGGCCGGCCUGUGCCAGGCCAGUGCUCACUGUGUACCAGGUGCCACAUGCGGGGCUCAGGGCAGGGCCACAGUCACUCCUCCCAACCACCCUUUGAAGGCAGUGUUACUAGCCCAUUUUACAGAGGAGGAAACUGUGACCUUAAGAGGCGAAUUAACACAUUGGGUCACCCAGCUACCGUGCAGUUUAAACCUAGAUUGUUCUGACUCCUAAACUGUAUGCAAGGCAGAUGAUUGGACCCCGGAGAGGCAAGGAAAGUCAGUUUUUCUGCUGCUGAAUUUGACGUUUUACAAGACCACAUGCCUCUUUAGUCCUCAGUUUUCUCAUCUAUGAAAUCAGGAGGGGAACUCUCUGCCUCCCGGCUCUGACAUGCUCUUGGACUGGUUCACUAUUCCUUGUUUUUGUGACUUCUCAAGGCAAGACCAGAGUCCCACUCCCAGCCCCAGGCCCAAGAUUCCCAUCCCCACUGUGUCCAGGGGCUCCAGGAGGUGCUAUUUCAAGGCAGAUGACAAAGACCUGGGCUGUAGAUCCACUGAGGGCUAAAGGCAAUCUUCCCUCCCUCCCUCCCUCCCUUCCUUCCCUCUCU